AAAUUGACGGGGCCCGCACAAGCAGCGGAGCGUGUGGUUUAAUUCGAUGCAACACGAAGAACCUUACCAAGGCUUGACAUGCUGGAAGUAGGAUACCGAGAGGUGGACGACCUGUUGAGUCAGGAGCCAGCACAGGUGCUGCAUGGCUGUCGUCAGCUCGUGCCGUGAGGUGUUCGGUUAAGUCCUGCAACGAGCGCAACCCCUGUUGCCAGUUGUUUUCUCUGGCGAGACUGCCUCGCAAAACGGGGAGGAAGGUGGGGAUGACGUCAAGUCAGCACGGCCCUUAUGCCUUGGGCCACACACACGCUACAAUGGGUGGUACAGUGGGUUGCGACAGAGCGAUCUGAAGCCAAUCCCCAAAAGCCAUCCCCAGUACGGAUUGCAGGCUGAAACCCGCCUGCACGAAGUCGGAGUUGCUAGUAACCGCAGGUCAGCAUACUGCGGUGAAUACGUUCUCGGGCCUU
rnacentral:rRNA from 1 species